AGAGUUUGAUCAUGGCUCAGAUUGAACGCUGGCGGCAGGCCUAACACAUGCAAGUCGAACGGUAACAGGAAGCAGCUUGCUGCUUCGCUGACGAGUGGCGGACGGGUGAGUAAUGUCUGGGAAACUGCCUGAUGGAGGGGGAUAACUACUGGAAACGGUGGCUAAUACCGCAUAACGUCGCAAGACCAAAGAGGGGGACCUUCGGGCCUCUUGCCAUCAGAUGUGCCCAGAUGGGAUUAGCUAGUUGGUGAGGUAACGGCUCACCAAGGCGACGAUCCCUAGCUGGUCUGAGAGGAUGACCAGCCACACUGGAACUGAGACACGGUCCAGACUCCUACGGGAGGCAGCAGUGGGGAAUAUUGCACAAUGGGCGCAAGCCUGAUGCAGCCAUGCCGCGUGUAUGAAGAAGGCCUUCGGGUUGUAAAGUACUUUCAGCGGGGAGGAAGGUGUUGUGGUUAAUAACCACAGCAAUUGACGUUACCCGCAGAAGAAGCACCGGCUAACUCCGUGCCAGCAGCCGCGGUAAUACGGAGGGUGCAAGCGUUAAUCGGAAUUACUGGGUGUAAAGCGCACGCAGGCGGUCUGUCAAGUCGGAUGUGAAAUCCCCGGGCUCAACCUGGGAACUGCAUUCGAAACUGGCAGGCUUGAGUCUUGUAGAGGGGGGUAGAAUUCCAGGUGUAGCGGUGAAAUGCGUAGAGAUCUGGAGGAAUACCGGUGGCGAAGGCGGCCCCCUGGACAAAGACUGACGCUCAGGUGCGAAAGCGUGGGGAGCAAACAGGAUUAGAUACCCUGGUAGUCCACGCCGUAAACGAUGUCUACUUGGAGGUUGUGCCCUUGAGGCGUGGCUUCCGGAGCUAACGCGUUAAGUAGACCGCCUGGGGAGUACGGCCGCAAGGUUAAAACUCAAAUGAAUUGACGGGGGCCCGCACAAGCGGUGGAGCAUGUGGUUUAAUUCGAUGCAACGCGAAGAACCUUACCUGGUCUUGACAUCCACAGAAGAAUCCAGAGAUGGAUUUGUGCCUUCGGGAACUGUGAGACAGGUGCUGCAUGGCUGUCGUCAGCUCGUGUUGUGAAAUGUUGGGUUAAGUCCCGCAACGAGCGCAACCCUUAUCCUUUGUUGCCAGCGGUUAGGCCGGGAACUCAAAGGAGACUGCCAGUGAUAAACUGGAGGAAGGUGGGGAUGACGUCAAGUCAUCAUGGCCCUUACGACCAGGGCUACACACGUGCUACAAUGGCGCAUACAAAGAGAAGCGACCUCGCGAGAGCAAGCGGACCUCAUAAAGUGCGUCGUAGUCCGGAUUGGAGUCUGCAACUCGACUCCAUGAAGUCGGAAUCGCUAGUAAUCGUGGAUCAGAAUGCCACGGUGAAUACGUUCCCGGGCCUUGUACACACCGCCCGUCACACCAUGGGAGUGGGUUGCAAAAGAAGUAGGUAGCUUAACCUUCGGGAGGGCGCUUACCACUUUGUGAUUCAUGACUGGGGUGAAGUCGUAACAAGGUAACCGUAGGGGAACCUGCGGUUGGAUCACCU
rnacentral:rRNA from 1 species